GUUUGUAAUGUCAGGUACUAAGGUAGUUGAAGUAAGGAGGUUCACAUUCAUCCCAAAGGUGCUUAAUAGGGUUGAUGCUCUACAGGAGGCCACUCAAGACCCAUGUGAAUCAUAUCUUCAUGGAGCUAGCAGAGGGACAUUGCCAUGCUGAAACAGGUUCAGGACUGCUGAUGUUCAGUCGGUCCUGAGUUCAAGCCACUGAUCUACUGUCUCUAUACGGACAGAAACUUGAGCUCAGGAUUAACCAGAGAACACUAAAGCUGAAGCAGGGGUCAAGGCGCAGGGUCAGACACGACAGAGCAGCCCCUGGAGCAACAAGGGCUUAAGGGUUUUGCUCCGAGUGGCAGCUGUGCAACACUGGGGUUUGAACUCAUAUCCUUCUAAUCAGGAUCUUAACCCCCUGAGCCACUGGUGUGCCUUUAUCCUGAUGGGCUUGUGGAGAAAAUCAGAACUCCAGGGCAACUGUGAGCUUUUAAAGAGCUGAAUGCAAAAGUUUGUAUACCCUGUGGCUACAAUUUAUAUGUUAUAUAUUUUUCCCUUUCCAUCUCAUCGCAUGAGGAAUUGUGCCUGUUAACCCUAAAGCCAUGUAUAGGACAAUCAGUAUUAUAUUAAAGCACUCAUAUGGACAAAAGUUUAAACUUUUUGAACAUU